AUGUCCCUCCCUUUGGUUCCUUCCCUAUAUAUGUCACUCCCUUUGGUUCCUUCCCUAUGUCACUCCCUUUGGUUCCUUCCCUAUAUAUGUCCAUCCCUUUGGUUCCUUCCCUAUAUAUGUCCCUCCCUUUGGUUCCUUCCCUAUAUAUGUCACUCCCUUUGGUUCCUUCCCUAUAUAUGUCACUCCCAUUGGUUCCCUCCCUAUAUAUGUCACUCCCUUUGGUUCCUUCCCUAUAUAUGUCACUCCCUUUGGUUCCUUCCCUAUGUCACUCCCAUUGGUUCCUUCCCUAUAUAUGUCACUCCCAUUGGUUCCUUCCCUAUAUAUGUCACUCCCAUUGGUUCCUUCCCUAUAUAUGUCACUCCCUUUGGUUCCUUCCCUAUAUAUGUCACUCCCAUUGGUUCCUUCCCUAUAUAUGUCACUCCCAUUGGUUCCCUCCCUAUAUAUGUCACUCCCUUUGGUUCCUUCCCUAUAUAUGUCACUCCCUUUGGUUCCUUCCCUAUGUCACUCCCAUUGGUUCCUUCCCUAUAUAUGUCACUCCCUUUGGUUCCUUCCCUAUAUAUGUCACUCCCAUUGGUUCCUUCCCUAUAUAUGUCACUCCCAUUGGUUCCUUCCCUAUAUAUGUCACUCCCUUUGGUUCCUUCCCUAUAUAUGUCCCUCCCUUUGGUUCCUUCCCUAUAUAUGUCUCUCCCUUUGGUUCCUUCCCUAUAUAUGUCACUCCCUUUGGUUCCUUCCCUAUGUCACUCCCAUUGGUUCCUUCCCUAUAUAUGUCACUCCCUUUGGUUCCUUCCCUAUAUAUGUCCCUCCCUUUGGUUCCUUCCCUAUAUAUGUCACUCCCUUUGGUUCCUUCCCUAUAUAUAUGUCACUCCCUUUGGUUCCUUCCCUAUAUAUGUAACUCCCUUUGGUUCCUUCCCUAUAUAUGUCACUCCCAUUGGUUCCUUCCCUAUAUAUGUCACUCACUUUGGUUCCUGCCCUAUAUAUGUCCCUCCCUUUGGUUCCUUCCCUAUAUAUGUCUCUCCCUUUGGUUCCUUCCCUAUAUAUGUCACUCCCUUUGGUUCCUUCCCUAUGUCACUCCCAUUGGUUCCUUCCCUAUAUAUGUCACUCCCUUUGGUUCCUUCCCUAUAUAUGUCACUCCCUUUGGUUCCUUCCCUAUAUAUGUCCCUCCCUUUGGUUCCUUCCCUAUAUAUGUCACUCCCUUUGGUUCCUUCCCUAUAUAUGUCACUCCCUUUGGUUCCUUCCCUAUGUCAAUUCCAUUGGUUCCCUCCCUAUAUAUGUCCCUCCCUUUGGUUCCUUCCCUAUAUAUGUCACUCCCUUUGGUUCCUUCCCUGUAUAUGCACUCCCUUUGGUUCCCUCCCUAUAUAUGUCACUCCCUUUGGUUCCUUCCCUAUAUAUGUCACUCCCUUUGGUUCCUUCCCUAUAUAUGUCUCUCCCUUUGGUUCCUUCCCUAUAUAUAUGUCACUCCCUUUGGUUCCUUCCCUAUUUAUGUCACUCCCUUUGGUUCCUUCCCUAUAUAUAUAUAUAUAUAUAUAUAUAUAUAUAUAUAUAUAUAUAUAUAUAUAUAUAUAUAUAUAUACAUAUAUCUGUCUCUCCCUUUGUUUCCUUCCCCAGGCGUCAUUGUUUCUGUUCCAGUUUCAUGUCUGUGUGUUGUUCAUGUUUCUUGUUUUGUAUAAUUUGUUUAUUAAAUGA
ensembl:lncRNA